rnacentral:rRNA from 1 species
GUAGGGUGCAAGCGUUAAUCGGAAUUACUGGGCGUAAAGCGUGCGCAGGCGGUUAUGCAAGACAGAGGUGAAAUCCCCGGGCUCAACCUGGGAACUGCCUUUGUGACUGCAUGGCUAGAGUACGGUAGAGGGGGAUGGAAUUCCGCGUGUAGCAGUGAAAUGCGUAGAUAUGCGGAGGAACACCGAUGGCGAAGGCAAUCCCCUGGACCUGUACUGACGCUCAUGCACGAAAGCGUGGGGAGCAAACAGGAUUAGAUACCCUGGUAGUCCACGCCCCUAAACGAUGUCAACUGGUUGUUGGGAGGGUUUCUUCUCAGUAACGUAGCUAACGCGUGAAGUUGACCGCCUGGGAGUACGGCCGCAAGGUUG